AGGCGGGUAGUCUAAUGGUAGGAUAUGUGGCUGUUAACCACGCGACGAGAGUUCGAUUCUCUCCCCGCCAG
rnacentral:tRNA from 1 species